rnacentral:rRNA from 1 species
UAGUUAGAGCCCGUUAAUGGGUGAUAGCGUGCCUUUUGUAGAAUGAACCGGCGAGUUACGAUUUGUUGCAAGGUUAAGCGGAAAAAGCGGAGCCGUAGCGAAAGCGAGUCUGAAUAGGGCGCAUAAGUAACAGGUCGUAGACCCGAAACCAGGUGAUCUACCCAUGUCCAGGAUGAAGGUAAGGUAAUACUUACUGGAGGUCCGAACCCACGCACGUUGAAAAGUGCGGGGAUGAGGUGUGGGUAGCGGAGAAAUUCCAAUCGAACUUGGAGAUAGCUGGUUCUCUCCGAAAUAGCUUUAGGGCUAGCCUCGAGGUAAAGAGUCAUGGAGGUAGAGCACUGUUUGGACUAGGGGCCCUUCUCGGGUUACCGAAUUCAGAUAAACUCCGAAUGCCAUGUACUUAUACUCGGGAGUCAGACUGCGAGUGAUAAGAUCCGUAGUCGAAAGGGAAACAGCCCAGACCACCAGUUAAGGUCCCCAAAUAUAUGUUAAGUGGAAAAGGAUGUGGGGUUGCUUAGACAACCAGGAUGUUGGCUUAGAAGCAGCCACCAUUGAAAGAGUGCGUAAUAGCUCACUGGUCGAGUGACCCCGCGCCGAAAAUGUACCGGGGCUAAACAUAUUACCGAAACUGUGGAUGAACCUCUUUAGAGGUUCGUGGUAGGAGAGCGUUCUAAGGGCGGUGAAGUCAGACCGGAAGGACUGGUGGAGCGCUUAGAAGUGAGAAUGCCGGUAUGAGUAGCGAAAGAAGGGUGAGAAUCCCUUCCACCGAAUAUCUAAGGUUUCCUGAGGAAGGCUCGUCCGCUCAGGGUUAGUCGGGACCUAAGCCGAGGCCGAUAGGCGUAGGCGAUGGACAACAGGUAGAGAUUCCUGUACCAGUGCUAAUUGUUUAACCGAUGGGGUGACACAGAAGGAUAGGGAAUCGCACGAAUGGAAAUGUGCGUCCAAGCAGUGAGUGUGAGAAGUAGGCAAAUCCGCUUCUCGCGAAGCAUGAGCUGUGAUGGGGAAGGAAAUUAAGUACGGAAGUUCCUGAUUUCACGCUGUCAAGAAAAGCCUCUAGGAAGAGUAGUACUGCCCGUACCGCAAACCGACACAGGUAGAUGAGGAGAGAAUCCUAAGGUGAGCGAGAGAACUCUCGUUAAGGAACUCGGCAAAAUGACCCCGUAACUUCGGGAGAAGGGGUGCUCUAUUAGGGUGCAAGCCCGAGAGAGCCGCAGUGAAUAGGCCCAGGCGACUGUUUAGCAAAAACACAGGUCUCUGCAAAACCGUAAGGUGACGUAUAGGGGCUGACGCCUGCCCGGUGCUGGAAGGUUAAGAGGAGUGCUUAGCUUCGGCGAAGGUACGAAUUGAAGCCCCAGUAAACGGCGGCCGUAACUAUAACGGUCCUAAGGUAGCGAAAUUCCUUGUCGGGUAAGUUCCGACCCGCACGAAAGGCGCAACGAUCUGGGCACUGUCUCAACGAGAGACUCGGUGAAAUUAUAGUACCUGUGAAGAUGCAGGUUACCCGCGACAGGACGGAAAGACCCCGUGGAGCUUUACUGCAACCUGAUAUGGAAUGUUUGUACCGCUUGUACAGGAUAGGUAGGAGCCGAAGAGACGUGUGCGCUAGCAUACGAGGAGGCAAUGGUGGGAUACUACCCUGGCUGUAUGACCAUUCUAACCCGCCACGCUUAGCGCGUGGGGAGACAGUGUCAGGUGGGCAGUUUGACUGGGGCGGUCGCCUCCUAAAGAGUAACGGAGGCGCCCAAAGGUUCCCUCAGAAUGGAUGGAAAUCAUUCGCAGAGUGUAAAGGCACAAGGGAGCUUGACUGCGAGACUGACAAGUCGAGCAGGGACGAAAGUCGGGCUUAGUGAUCCGGUGGUUCCGCAUGGAAGGGCCAUCGCUCAACGGAUAAAAGCUACCCCGGGGAUAACAGGCUUAUCUCCCCCAAGAGUCCACAUCGACGGGGAGGUUUGGCACCUCGAUGUCGGCUCGUCGCAUCCUGGGGCUGUAGUCGGUCCCAAGGGUUGGGCUGUUCGCCCAUUAAAGCGGCACGCGAGCUGGGUUCAGAACGUCGUGAGACAGUUCGGUCCCUAUCCGUCGCGGGCGCAGGAAAUUUGAGAGGAGCUGUCCUUAGUACGAGAGGACCGGGAUGGACACACCGCUGGUGUACCAGUUGUUCCGCCAGGAGCAUCGCUGGGUAGCUAUGUGUGGCAGGGAUAAACGCUGAAAGCAUCUAAGCGUGAAGCCCCCCUCAAGAUGAGAUUUCCCAUUUCUUCGGAAAGUAAGAUCCCUGAAAGAUGAUCAGGUAGAUAGGUUUGGAGUGGAAGUGUAGCGAUACAUGGAGCGGACAAAUACUAAUCGAUCGAGGACUUAACCAAAA